UACGAAGGGUGCAAGCGUUGCUCGGAAUUAUUGGGCGUAAAGGGUAGGUAGGUGGUAAUAAAAGUCUGGGGUGAAAUCCCUGAGCUCAACUCAGGACGUGCCUUGGAAACUGUAUUACUAGAGUGCUGGAGAGGUCCGCAGAAUUCCCGGUGUAGCGGUGAAAUGCGUAGAGAUCGGGAGGAAUACCAGAGGCGAAGGCGGCGGACUGGACAGCAACUGACACUCAACUACGAAAGCGUGGGUAGCAAACAGG
rnacentral:rRNA from 1 species